GGGAUUUGACAUUGGAUUUGGACUUUGCAGGGUCUGGACGGAGAGAGAAAGGGGAUUCGACUGACCGACCGACCCCACAAGGAUGUAUGUGCUAAACUAAAGAGGUACAUUGUUAUGAUACUUACUGUUAUGGAUAUGAUUGGCGUUGUGGAGGCGAGCCGUGUGAGACGAAAUCCGUAAGUAGAGUGUUCGCAAGACAUAAGAUUUAGGUGUUUCAAUAAGAGCUUCCAACAAUAUCCGGCUGGACUGUCCCAUCGAAUCAACAGGUGUCCGUCGCGAACUUCAGCCACACAACGGCCCGUAAAUGCACCACUGCCGAACGUCAACUCGUCUCCUAACGUGGCUGUCACCGAUCCUUGAAUUAAAACAUAAAUAAUAUUAAUAAUUAUUAAAAAAAAAAAAAAUACAUUAGAGGCAGGUCCAAAUACUUUUAACUUAA